rnacentral:rRNA from 1 species
CCUACGGGAGGCAGCAGUGGGGAAUAUUGCCCAAUGGGGGGAACCCUGAUGCAGCGACGCCGCGUGAGUGAAGAAGUAUUUCGGUAUGUAAAGCUCUAUCAGCAGGGAAGAAAAUGACGGUCCCUGACGAAGUAGCACCGGCUAAAUACGUGCCAGCAGCCGCGGUAAGACGUAGGGUGCAAGCGUUAUCCGGGUUUACUGGGGGUAAAGGGAGCGCAGGCGGCGCGUUAAGCCUGGUGUGAAAGCCCGCGGCCCAACCGCGGGACUGCAGUGGGAACUGGCGCGCUUGAGUGCCGGAGGGGUAGGCGGAAUUCCUAGUGUAGCGGUGAAAUGCGUAGAUAUUAGGAAGAACACCAGUGGCGAAGGCGGCCUACUGGACGGUGACUGACGCUGAGGCUCGAAAGCGUGGGGAGCAAACAGGAUUAGAUACCCCAGUAGUC